rnacentral:rRNA from 1 species
GACGAACGCUGGCGGCGUGCUUAACACAUGCAAGUCAAGGGGCCCUUCGGGUCACUGGCGCACGGGUGAGUAACGCGUAGAUAAUCUGCCCCUAUCUCCGGAAUAACGUCAAGAAAUUGGCACUAAGAACGGAUGAGGCACACUGUGUCAAAGGAAACGGAUAGGGAGUGAGUCUGCGUCUGAUUAGCUUGUUGGUAAGGUAAUGGCUUACCAAGGCGACGAUCAGUAGCUGGUCUGAGAGGACGAUCAGCCACACUGGAACUGAGACACGGUCCAGACUCCUACGGGAGGCAGCAGUGAGGAAUUUUGCACAAUGGGGGAAACCCGUACGAUGCAGC